AUGGCUAAACAAACGAUGGCACGUCCCAGUGUGCUGCAAGAAAAAGUCCGAGAGAGCCGGGAAGACUUCUAUGAACUGAUGCAGAGCGAAGAAACCAGAACCAGGGGAGCAACCACAGCACUGCGAAGGCAAACAACUGGGACAGACGGAAGGACUCUGAUCAGGGAAAUAGUCCACCAGGGCUCCAGAGGACAGAGGAGGAGGCCGGAUCCCUGCCUCUGGGCACACAGAGGAGGAGCCCACGCUGGAGUUAGUGUCUGCAGUGACCUGAUGGUUCUGGCAGCAGAAUCUGGAGAAAAAAAGACACACGACAAACAGGAAGCUAGAAACAGAAGCAGCAAGGACAAACAAACUGGAAUUCCACCUGCUGUAAGAAGCAUUUCCAGAUCCCCUGAAGACUUCCCUCUAUGGAGUAGCUUCAGUUUGUCCUGCCCACAGAUCCAGCAGCAUACCUGCGGGCCUGCCUGGGCGUCAUCACGUGCGCUAAUUAACUGGGCAGUUUUCUCAUUGGCCAAGAGAGUAGUCCGGCAUUCUCGUGACAGGGUUAAAAGGGGGAAAGAGAAGACAUUUCAACUUCAUUCCCGCUUUGUCCAAAUCUCGUUUAAUCUCCGGGAAGGAAGACUCACAUUCACACUCACUCACUCACUCAUACUCACACUCAAACAAUACUCACACACUCACAUACACUCACACACAUUCACACACACACUCACAUUCACACACUCAUAUCCUCACAUUCAUACACACUCUCACACUCACACACAUUUAUACACACUUACAUGCUCACACACACUCGCAACACAUACAUUUUCACACACACUCAUAUCCUCACACUCACACACUCACACACAUCCACACACACUUACAUGCUCACACAUACUCACACACACUCUCACACACACAUUCUCACACACACUCUCACACUCACACACAUCCACACACACUUACAUGCUCACACACACUCUCCCACACACACAUUCUCACAAACUCACACUCACAUCCUCACACUCACACACACACUCACAUGCUUACACAAACUCUCACAUACUCACACUCCCACACAUUCUCACACACACUCAUACACACUCAUUCACACACACUCUCACACACACUCACUCCCAACAAGAAAGCAGAUGUUUGGAGCUGGAGAUGCUGGAUGGGAGCACAUUCUUGCCCCUCGAUUGCCCUCUCCUCUGGCAGGGACACCAGACAGCAGAAUAUUUAUGGAGACAAAGAAAAGCAAGGCACAGAUUCAGUAGAAGACAGUGA
rnacentral:lncRNA from 1 species